rnacentral:rRNA from 1 species
UGGGGAAUUUUGGACAAUGGGCGAAAGCCUGAUCCAGCAAUGCCGCGUGUGUGAAGAAGGCCUUCGGGUUGUAAAGCACUUUUGUCCGGAAAGAAAUCCUUGGCUCUAAUACAGUCGGGGGAUGACGGUACCGGAAGAAUAAGCACCGGCUAACUACGUGCCAGCAGCCGCGGUAAUACGUAGGGUGCAAGCGUUAAUCGGAAUUACUGGGCGUAAAGCGUGCGCAGGCGGUUUGCUAAGACCGAUGUGAAAUCCCCGGGCUCAACCUGGGAACUGCAUUGGUGACUGGCAGGCUAGAGUAUGGCAGAGGGGGGUAGAAUUCCACGUGUAGCAGUGAAAUGCGUAGAGAUGUGGAGGAGUACCGAUGGCGAAGGCAGCCCCCUGGGCCAAUACUGACGCUCAUGCACGAAAGCGUGGGGAGCAAACAGGAUUAGAUACCCUGGUAGUCCACGCCCUAAACGAUGUCAACUAGUUGUUGGGGAUUCAUUUCCUUAGUAACGUAGCUAACGCGUGAAGUUGACCGCCUGGGGAGUACGGUCGCAAGAUUAAAACUUAAAGGAAUUGACGGGGUCAUAGCUGUUUCCU